rnacentral:rRNA from 1 species
UACGGAGGGUGCAAGCGUUAUCCGGAUUCACUGGGUUUAAAGGGUGCGUAGGUGGGUCUGUAAGUCAGUGGUGAAAUCUUCGAGCUUAACUCGGAAACUGCCAUUGAUACUAUAGAUCUUGAAUUUUCUGGAGGUAAGCGGAAUAUGUCAUGUAGCGGUGAAAUGCUUAGAUAUGACAUAGAACACCAAUUGCGAAGGCAGCUUACUACGGGAACAUUGACACUGAGGCACGAAAGUGUGGGGAUCAAACAGG